UACGUAGGGUGCAAGCGUUAAUCGGAAUUACUGGGCGUAAAGCGCGUGUAGGCGGCUCUUCAAGUCAGACGUGAAAGCCCCGGGCUUAACUCGGGAACUGCGUUUGAUACUGUCGAGCUAGAGUGUGGAAGGGGCGAUUGGAAUUCCGUGUGUAGCGGUGAAAUGCGUAGAUAUACGGAGGAACACCAGAGGCGAAGGCGGAUCGCUGGGCCAACACUGACGCUGAGACGCGAAAGCUAGGGGAGCAAACGGG
rnacentral:rRNA from 1 species